UACGGGGGGGGGCUAGCGUUGUUCGGAAUUACUGGGCGUAAAGGGCGCGUAGGCGGCCUACUAAGUCGGACGUGAAAUCCCUCGGCUCAACCGGGGAACUGCGUCCGAUACUGGUGGGCUCGAAUCCGGGAGAGGGAUGUGGAAUUCCAGGUGUAGCGGUGAAAUGCGUAGAUAUCUGGAGGAACACCGGUGGCGAAGGCGGCAUCCUGGACCGGUACUGACGCUGAGGUGCGAAAGCGUGGGGAGCAAACAGG
rnacentral:rRNA from 1 species